rnacentral:rRNA from 1 species
UACGUAGGGUGCGAGCGUUAAUCGGAAUCACUGGGCGUAAAGCGCGUGUAGGCGGCUCGGUAAGUCCGCUGUGAAAGUCGGGGGCUCAACCCUCGGAUGCCGGUGGAUACUGUCGGGCUAGAGUACGGAAGAGGCGAGUGGAAUUCCUGGUGUAGCGGUGAAAUGCGCAGAUAUCAGGAGGAACACCAAUUGCGAAGGCAGCUCGCUGGGACGUUACUGACGCUGAGACGCGAAAGCGUGGGGAGCAAACAGG